GUUUAUCAGAGGGAUGGGACGAGAGGGUGAGGUGUGACUUCCCAGAGCAGCGAGCUUCAGUGUCUGACUACAUGGGGCAAGGAAAGACACCAGUGGACAAAAGGUGCUGUGCUGGAGAGAGCAUGUGGAGAGACACCACAGAGAGUGAUGUCCAAGGAUCCUCUGCUGUUCUAGCCUCCAGAUGUUUGGUACCAAAUGGAGAGUGAGUGAGGCUUCCAACCCCACCUUUGAGCCACCCCAGCUGAUCCCAGUAGAGCAGAGAUGAGCUGUCCCCACCAAGUCUUGCCCAGAUUGCAGAUCUGUGAACAAAUAAGAAUUUUUGCUUGAAGCCUCUAUGUUUUGGGGUACUUGGUCACGUAGCCCUAGGGCUAACUGAAGUAUAGUGAGAAGUGACAAGAUUCAAGGUUGUAUAGCUGCUUAGGGGAAGAACAAAGAAAGUACACUCUCCUUGCAUUCAAAGGAUAUUUCUUCAAUUUGCUUGCAGUGUGACCUUUGGCAAGCUACUGAACCUCUCUGUGCCUCAGUUUUCUCAUCUGUAUGAUAGGGAUGAAGAUGGUAUUUCUUCAGAAGGUAGUGAUGAGGAAUAAAUAUCUCAUUCUUGGCAUGUAGGAAAAAGCUAGUAAGUAGCUGGGUUGGGGUUUCAAUUCAGGCAGUCUAACCCUAGACUCUUUACUGGUAAGCUCAGGUCCAGAACAUUCCCACCAAUCCCUGAAAAGGAGGCCAGACGGCAAUAUCCCAGGUACUCCCAUUAUUUUCCCCCAUACGGCAUGAUUCUGAGUCCUCCUUGGCCGCCCUUCUCUGUUCACUGGGCCUUGAUACAUGAUUCUCUGAACUGAAGGCCGCACCAUCACUCCUCUCUGUUUAGUGCAGCCCGAGAUUACACUGGCUUUUUUGGCAGUCACAUCACAUUGUUGACUCAUUCUGAGCUGGCAGUCAAAAUCCUAAGUGUUUUUAUCACAUGUGCUAGCAUCAAGCUGCAUUCCUUCCCAUCUAGGAUUGGUGCAAUUGGAGUUUUAAAAAAUCCAACUGCAGAAUUGUUUAGUUUAUUAGAUUUUGCUCAUUGUGGUAGUGUGCCUAGGAAAGAAUCCAGAUGAGCUCCUCUCCAGGGUUCUCGGAGACACCCUGUAUCCUUUUAAUAUACCUUUCCUUUAUUUCUGUAGUCCAUUUGAGUGGCUUACUGGUACUCACAACACAAAAAGUAAGCCAUAGAGUGACUUCUGGGUGGUCCUUGCUCAGGAGGAAAAGAGGUGUGGCAGGGAUGCUGUGGUAGAGGGCAGAGAAAGCAAAUGGCAGGAGCGUGUGCCGGGUGCCACGUCUGAGCCGUGGCAGACCUUGCAGCUGAUCAUGACUCUCUUUUCUGCUGAGUCAGGAAAUGGCCUCUACUUUGAUUAGCUGCCACCUGAAUAGGACAGAGUUGAGGACUGAGGACAGAGACUGCUUUCGAAGUGGACCCUGGCAUAAUUAAUCAGGCUUCAAGCACAUCGGUUGUUCGGAUGGUUCCCAAUUCCCCCAAAUGUGCUGCCAUCUUACCCUCAUUUUCUCAGCUUGCCCACAAAGAUAAAAUGAUAUUUUUAUCAAGUCUCAUUUCUUGCUGAACUACAAGUUCUCUAAGUGGCCGCAUCACUUGAUCCUGCUACUCUGGCGAUACUAUGUACAGUGCUUGCUGAAGUGGUCACUCUGGUUGGUGGGUGCCACAGAAGGUGGGUGGCUCAGAGUGGACUGAAGAAAGUACCAGAGUCUGAUGGACCUCAUUU
rnacentral:lncRNA from 1 species